rnacentral:rRNA from 1 species
CCUACGGGAGGCAGCAGUGAGGAAUAUUGGUCAAUGGACGAGAGCCUGAACCAGCCAAGUAGCGUGAAGGAUGACUGCCCUAUGGGUUGUAAACUUCUUUUAUAUGGGAAUAAAACAGGGUAUGCAUACCCUCUUGUAUGUACCAUAUGAAUAAGGAUCGGCUAACUCCGUGCCAGCAGCCGCGGUAAUACGGAGGAUCCGAGCGUUAGCCGGAUUUAUUGGGUUUAAAGGGAGCGUAGGUGGAGUGUUAAGUCAGUUGUGAAAGUUUGCGGCUCAACCGUAAGAUUGCAGUUGAAACUGGCAGUCUUGAGUACAGUAGAGGUGGGCGGAAUUCGUGGUGUAGCGGUGAAAUGCUUAGAUAUCACGAAGAACUCCGAUUGCGAAGGCAGCUCACUGGACUGCAACUGACACUGAUGCACGAAAGUGUGGGUAUCAAACAGGAUUAGAUACCCCGGUAGUC